CACGUAGGGUGCGAGCGUUGUCCGGAAUUAUUGGGCGUAAAGAGCUCGUAGGCGGUGUGUCGCGUCGGCCGUGAAAACCUGCAGCUUAACUGUGGGCUUGCGGUCGGUACGGGCAUCACUGGAGUUCGGCAGGGGAGACUGGAAUUCCUGGUGUAGCGGUGAAAUGCGCAGAUAUCAGGAGGAACACCGGUGGCGAAGGCGGGUCGCUGGGCCGAUACUGACGCUGAGGAGCGAAAGCGUGGGGAGCGAACAGG
rnacentral:rRNA from 1 species